GCCGAGGUAGCUCAGUGGUAGAGCGCGGCCCUGAAAAGGCCGGCGUGGUCAGUUCAAUUCUGACCCUCGGCACCA
rnacentral:tRNA from 2 species